CCUACGGGAGGCAGCAGUGGGGAAUUUUGGACAAUGGGCGCAAGCCUGAUCCAGCCAUGCCGCGUGAGUGAAGAAGGCCUUCGGGUUGUAAAGCUCUUUCGGCUGGGACGAAAAGGUCCGCGCUAACACCGCGGAUCCAUGACGGUACCAGCAGAAGAAGCACCGGCUAACUACGUGCCAGCAGCCGCGGUAAUACGUAGGGUGCAGGCGUUAAUCGGAAUUACUGGGCGUAAAGCGUGCGCAGGCGGUCUGCUAAGACAGGUGUGAAAUCCCCGGGCUUAACCUGGGAACUGCGCUUGUAACUGGCAGGCUGGAGUGUGGCAGAGGGGGGUGGAAUUCCACGUGUAGCAGUGAAAUGCGUAGAGAUGUGGAGGAACACCGAUGGCGAAGGCAGCCCCCUGGGCUAACACUGACGCUCAUGCACGAAAGCGUGGGGAGCA
rnacentral:rRNA from 1 species